rnacentral:lncRNA from 1 species
AAGGACUGAGGAUUGGUUGCUUCUCUCAUCCGUUUCUGUGGCUGGAGGUGCCUUGUGAACUGUACUGCUGAGACAAACAGGUGCCCAGAACUGCUCAGGACCGCCUAUGAAACCUGCUGCUGGGAUUCUCUCUUGCUGCUAAUGGAGAAGGUGACAUGCUGCUGAUUAAAGUGAGGACCAAGGCUGUGAAUGUUGAAACUGACAGCUCCCGGUCUCAGAGCUGGCUGUAGAAGCUGAAUCCUGCUUCCUCCAUACCACUGCAUCCUGGCUUGGCUGGAUGGGGCGAGGGCAGGGAUUUGCCCCUAAGCACCACAUUGGAGAACCCUCCCUGGAAGGAUGUGAGACCCUCUUCCAUUGCCUAUAUCAUCAGGUUGCUGAUUGCUUUCCCCAUGGUGGGCUGGACUGUGAAGACCAUUGGGCUGCCAGUGUACCUGUCGACCCUGGGACACCAAUGCAGUGGUAGAGAGCUAAUGAAUCACAACAUCACUUACGCAUUAACUUCUUUGAAAUGCAAAGCACUCCCCUGGUAUUUCAGUCUUUUCCAUCCAGUCCAAAGCAAAACCCCAUAGAUAGAGAACAGUGGGGAGCUGCACAAGGUAACACUUCCACUUUGUGUCUGGUACAAUGAUUGCAUCAGCAUUCAUUACAAUGGAACUUGCUGCCCUUUAAAGCAGUUCGGCACAUGCUGUAUCCUCAGCUUUCCUGCUUCCGACUGGCUCUGCGCUGAACUGCUUCCUUGCAUGCAUUCAAAGCAGUUUGUAAUUAACAAUCACAUUGUUUUCCUUUGAACAUCAACAGAGAUAUAGAAAACAGAGAUUGAGAGCUGAGAUGUUGGUACGACCGGGUAUUAUUUUGCUUUCAUGAAAUGACUUUUCCUAUUUUGCUGCAAAUUUGGUGCUGAUGAAAAGCUGGGGCAGCGUGCAGGCAGCCACAAGGCUUCACUCACCAGCUCAUGGACAAAGUUCUCUCCUCUCACUAUGGGGAAGCAGGAAAUUUGGGCUUGGAUGCCCUUUUACCUUUGCCCUUGCAGAACACAUUCUGGACACCAUUGCUGCCUUCACAAAAUAGCGCUCAGCAGAAAAGCCUGCAGAGAAGGACGAGGAAAACCAAGAGUAUGUGGGCUCCUGAGCUACCCAGCAUGUUGGAGCAGAGGGGCUGUGUUUGAAGCCUUGGCUCUGUGAACAAGAAGCAGAUUACAAACUUCUUCAGUUCUGGUGCAGAGCUUGGAUGGGAGGAUUGCUCCCUCCAUCUGUUCUUCGCAUAGGCAAUCUGCCUUUGAAAGCCAUCGCUGCUUAAGUAUGGAGGAAGCGUAAAUGCAGAAGCACCUGAAUAUUGUUUAACAGAUGGGGGCACACAUUUUUCAGGCAGAGAUUUCCUUUCCAUUGCCCCACUUAUUUUAGAGGUGUUUUUCAGGACCAUCCUUCCAAUGCCUGGGAAUAGGAUCCCAGCCUGCGGUUUGUGGCGAUGGCAGUUAAUUUCCAGCAGCUAACUUUGCUGUGAAAACUCUUGUGACAUUUGUGAAAUUUGCUUUCAUCUCCUUCCCUUCCAACUGAGCUCACAUUUUUCAUCAAAGCCUUCCAGGAGGAUCACACUCCAUGCCACACGCUCCACCCUGGCAACGAAGUGGCUGGAGUUCAUCCGUGCCAUUCUGAAACACUCAAGCAAGCCUGAUGAAGCACACAGCCAGGCUGCAGCCUGUGAAUGCCUCUGCCCACAUGCACAUCUUCCCUCCCUGCAGGAGCUGCCCUUCUGUUGAUGAUGCUCGCUUGUUCUUGCCCCUUCUGCAUUAAUACAUACAGCACAGUGGCUUUCAGCUUCAUCAACCCAAGGACCACUACAAAUCUUCCAAUGGGAACGCUGUCGUAGACUGCUGAGUGGCAGAAAGGAAAUUGCUUUUCUUUGCAACUUUUUUGAUGAUUCCUUGCAAACAGAUGGUGGACCCCAUGCCUCAGGGAGCGCACAUUGAAGCCACCACCUCACUGAGUUGGUGAAACCAACAGAAAUUGUGUCAUAUGGACCCCCAUAAGGCCCAUCUACUGGGAGAAGUCACAGCUGGAGAAGAGGAGGAAGAAAGAAGUAAAAAUAUAGGCAGAGAGGAUGGACCUCAAAUUUCUCAGUUUACAUCUCACUUCCCCUUCCCAUUCUUUAGUCAUCAUAUUCUUUCUGGGAGAAAGUGGCUGUUGGAAAACAGAGAGAGAAGACGACAAACACUGCUGUGGAAUUAUUUAACGAGCCAGAAUGAAUUGCAUUUGAAAUCAUUUAAAUGGGAUCUGGGAGUAUUUAACUGCAGCACAGGAACUUAACAAGAGUGGGAAAGGAUUUUGUGCUAAUUGCUGGCAAUGAUAUACCUACGGAGAGAGAACAUGCAGCAAUUAGUAAGCAAGGCUGUAAUUUCAGCCUAAGGUCCCUGCCUGCCCUGGAAUAUGCCAUGGAUUAUCUGUUGCAAGGAAGACAGGGACUUGGUCUGCAGGUGACCGAAGGGCAGCAGAUGAGGUUCUCAUUGGGAAGUCAUUAGCCAAGAUUGUCACACAGGAGAUAGGUCUGCUCAGACCCCACUGCACCUUUCCUAACCUGACCCCAGCCCUGAAAGAACCAUCCAACACAGCGCCAGGUGAGACCAGGUGUUCUCACUAUGGGCUAAGGCAGAAAGCCACCCUGCCUGGCUGAGCCUCUGCCACCUGACUGUGGCACACAGCCUCUGACAGCCUCUGCUCAUUGUUUUCUAUCUCUGUUCUCUCCCCACGAUGCCUCUGUCUUUGGUUUUUGUCUUUCAAUCAGUUUUCAUCUCAGUAAUUCCCAUUCAAUGGUUAGUCUCUGAUCUUUCUAAUUGAGAUCAGAGCUUCAUGUAAUAGGGAGGGGGGAGGGAGACUAUUUUUAAUUUGCUACGUUCCCAUUAAUAACAAGUUCUAAUUAAAAAACCUCCAUCUUCCAUCCUCCCAAGUUCAGAGGAAAACUCUGCAACUUCUGUUGGAAUCUUCUCCUGAUAAAUUGGUACCACAGCCUCCUAGAACAGCUGGUCCUCUUUAGCAGGCAUUGUAAUUAAUGGGAAUAAUAAAUGCAUUCAAAGCAGGUUCGUAACCUUCCUUUCUGUGCACUCAGGCUUCUCUUUGCAUUGCAAGAGACACACAUCAGCAUCUCCGCAAACAGGCCCAGCAGAGCUGCCUAAUUCUAAGAAGCCCAGGUGCCAGUGGUAGUCACUGGGCUGCCACAGCCCUUGCCAUACCCUUUGUGCAGGGCUCCAUUUACACCAGCUGCUGGCUGGGGCUGCCUUGGGGUGCAGAUCAGCUGUGCUAGUGAUGGACAGACUCUUGCUCUCCCUCUUAGCUUUUGUUCAUCGCUACUGAGUUAAUGGAUUUGUCUCAGGAGCGGCCAAACCGGGAGCCAUCAGCACAGAUAUCCCCAAGAUGAGCAAUCUGUCCUGAGCAGUGAUUUCAAUUAAAGGGUCAUUAGCGUGAAAUCUUAUCCCACCCAGCUCCCAUUUGCCAGCAGGAGGUCCUUCUCCCCAUCCCAAGCCUGCUCUGCGGUUAGAGCGCGCUGCUCCUGCUGGAGCCCUCCCGUUUUGCUAAAACACAGCAGCUGCUGCUAAUAAACAAACAUAUUGAUCAUAGAGAUAUGGGCUGUCAGGGACUUAAUUCAUGAAUGAAACGUGCUGGGGAGCGCCCAGUAGGAGAGGGCUGUGCUUGGAGAGCUCGAGACCAAGAUGGUGCCUGGAGGUGGGAGCAGAGGCUGCUUAGCACUGGGGCUGGUGCUAAGAGUUCAAAGGCUGAAUUUGUUCACGGCACAGAAAGGAGCAGAGCAAAUUUCUCCUGUGUCAUUAUAGGCCAUCACUGACAGGGAGGGAGGUGUUUCGGGGGAGGGCUCCAGUUCCUUCCUACUGAAGUAUUCGGGUCAACCCAACCAUUUAGGGCUAAUUUAAGAAGACUAUCAAAUAUUCUCCAGAAGCCAACCGUGAAGUUCUACAAGGAUCUGAGGCUUGGAGAGAAAUAGGAGCUGCCUGCCAGCUGUGAUGCUGGGACGGCAGAGCAUCGGUGCAGAAGAGGGGAGAGAAGCAGAGCUGCAGGUUUCCCAUUUUCCUACCCUCCUGACAGCAGUUUUCCUGAUUUGGGUCAAAAUUUCCCCCCACGUAUAGACAGUAAAACUCUCCUUUUGUGUGACAUGGGGACUGUGUGUAUCGCUGAGAUACUAAUGGCUGCUAUUGUUUCUAUAUUGUUGUCAUUGUCUAGCAUCUUAUCAAAACAAGGUACAAUCAACUCACAGGUGGAUCCCACACAGCCAGGGGCUGUAAUUACAACAGGCGUGUAUUUGAAUAUAGCCUUUACAGGUGCAAUAAAUUACGCUGAAGCAGCUGAGGAUGGAGGUUGAACUGUAACAGGCUGCCAUACUUUUGGUAUUAGCCACGCCAAAAGCUGUCAUUAAAAUAGGCCUCAGUAUUUAUGGUCCUGGGUAGUGGAGGCCUUGCUAAGAUUCUGAUGAAUGAACUUCCAAGGACAGGAAUAGCUGUCAGUCUGAAAUAUUUAUCAGUCUGAACUCUCUCUGCGAUUCAUGCCAUGGUUUGGCUGCCUCCGUUUUUCUUCCCGUCUGGUUGCUUUGAAGCUCAGGUUCCCCGGGCACCAGGUAUUCAGCACGGCUGAGUCCUGUGCUACCUCCUGUCCCUGGGGCCAUGUUUCGGGGCUCACCAAAGGAAUUCCUUCUCCCUGCGCUGCAGGAGAUGGAGGCCAUGUCUGGAUGACUUCAUGCCUCCCCCAGCAUGUGUCCUGAUGCUGCCUUUGCUGUGUGAUUCCCACAUCCUUCUGGCUAAGGAGAGGUCAAAGGAGCCUCGGGGCAUGCAAAUAUAAUUGGCAUUGCAGCCUUGGUAUCCACGCAUGAGGGAAGGUGGGUUUGCUGAAUAGGCUUCAGAAAAGCCUGAGAACCAGGAUUUCUGUGCAAAGGCACAGCCUGAUCUCACCAACUGGGAGUUUCUGUGCUCCUCAGGUCUCCAAGGCACCCAGAGCUUGCAAGUUAAUAAAAGUCUAAACAUUAUCUUCUGAAAGAGGGGAUGAAAACUCCCAGUGAAUCACCUGCAGCAAAUGCCAGCAAAGCACGUUUCCUUGAGGUUUCUUGAAGCUACCUCUGAAAGGUCAGAUUUCUCAGUGAGACAAAAAGCUCUCUUCUCCCUCCUAGCUGUUCCAUCAAUACUUGUUUUUUCUCUCCAUUUAUUUUUACCUUCCUGUUCAGGAAAACAUACAUAAAGAAGAAAAAAAAUGCAGCUUCCCAUGACAGCAGCUAAGUCCAAAGCUCAGUCUUAAACUAAGAGCUCAGUCCAAAGACCCCAAUAGACUUUGAGAGCAAUAGAGGAGGUGAGGAGACCCUAGUGAUGAUCAGGGCAAUGCAAAGUCAGCUGUGAAGCUGGGCGCAGAGGGAACAGCUGAUAUUCUCCAGUCAGAAGCAAAGCACGGGGCUUGUCCGGACAUGUUCCCUUCAGCCAGGGGAUGGGGUUGGAUGGGGCUCUGAGCCCCUGAUGUGCUCAGCUGUGGGUGCCUCUGUUCAUUGCAGGGGAGCUGGACUAGAUGACCUUUAAACAUCCCUUCCAACUCAAACAAUUCUGGGAUUCUGUGACUCAUUUGGACAUGUGCCACGGUUGGUCACCUUCCCAGACCUGAUGGCUUCUUCCAGCAGCCAGCUCGCAGGGUCUGGGUGUGGGCAAGGGGGAAGAAGGCCUCACCUCGUGGUGAGAGAGCAGGAGCUCUGCAGAGAGGACGUGACUCCUCUCUCUCACUCAUGCACUUAAUGACUCUCCACUGAGUUAAUCACGCAAUACAAUUCAGGGGUAAUAUUCCUAACCACCCCGCUGUGCCCUCAGCGAUACCUCCAGCUGCGGCACACCUCCACCUGCUGACACCAUCCCUCCCUUUUCCCCAUCUCCACCUCAUUUCUCUCUCGGUUGUUAUGGCCUUUGUCCAACAAAGCACUUAAACAGGUGUUCCCCUGAGCAAGUAACCCAGCCUUCUCCAUGCGGUGAAUCCAGAAUCCCAUGCAGGAGGCCUCUGCCCUCUGCACACCUGGGUUUUUUUUUUGGUGUAGAAAAGCACUGGGGCCACGGGCAGAGCAGAUGGGAAACCCUUGGCUGAUCUUCUCACUGUGCUCUGCAGUCCUGACAUCUGCUCGUGUGUGACAAUGGGAAUAAAUCACUGAGGAUUUCCUGCCCAGAUUUGGGGAACACAAACACUGCUGAAGUCCUUUGGUUUGCUCAGCCCAGGGAAAGGGAGGCUGCAUGGCAGCCUACGGUCCCCUCAUGGCCUACAGCUUCCUCACAGUGGCCUACAGCUUCCUCAUGGCCUACAUCCCCCCCAUGGCAGCCUACAGCUUCCUCAUGGCCUACAUCCCCACCAUGGCAACCUACAGCUUCCUCAUGGCCUACAUCCCCACCAUGGCAACCUACAGCUUCCUCAUGGCCUACAUCCCCC